GACGAACGCUGGCGGCGUGCUUAACACAUGCAAGUCGAACGGAAAGGCCCUGCUUUUGUGGGGUGCUCGAGUGGCGAACGGGUGAGUAACACGUGAGUAACCUGCCCUUGUCUUUGGGAUAACUUCAGGAAACUGGGGCUAAUACCGGAUAGGAGCUCCUGCUGCAUGGUGUGGGUUGGAAAGUUUCGGCGGUUGGGGAUGGACUCGCGGCUUAUCAGCUUGUUGGUGGGGUAGUGGCUUACCAAGGCUUUGACGGGUAGCCGGCCUGGGAGGGUGACCGGCCACAAAGGGACUGGGGAGGGGCCCAGACGCCUUCGGGAGGCAGGGGUGGGGGAUAGUGCAAAAAGGGCCGAAGCCGGAUGCAGCAACGCCGCGUGCGGGAUGACGGCCUUCGGGUUGUAAACCGCUUUCGCCUGUGACGAAGCGUGAGUGACGGUAAUGGGUAAAGAAGCACCGGCUAACUACGUG
rnacentral:rRNA from 1 species